GACGAACGCUGGCGGCGUGCUUAACACAUGCAAGUCGAACGGAAAGGCCCUGCUUUUGUGGGGUGCUCGAGUGGCGAACGGGUGAGUAACACGUGAGUAACCUGCCCUUGACUUUGGGAUAACUUCAGGAAACUGGGGCUAAUACCGGAUAGGAGCUCCUGCUGCAUGGUGGGGGUUGGAAAGUUUCGGCGGUUGGGGAUGGACUCGCGGCUUAUCAGCUUGUUGGUGGGGUAGUGGCUUACCAAGGCUUUGACGGGUGGCCGGCCUGAGAGGGUGACCGGACAAGGUAGGAGGAGGAGACGGCGAGGAGUGCGAGGGGAGGAGGGGAGGGGAAAGAGGGAAGGAUGGGGGGAGGCGUAAGGCGGCAACGGGGGGGGGGGCAUGGCUCGCGUGGGGUAUGAAAGCGCGUGCGCCUGGGAGGAGGAGUGAGUGACGGUAAGGGGUAAAGAAGCACAGUCAAACGACGUACCAGCAGCCGCGGUAAUAAUGGAAAGGCAAACGUAUGACC
rnacentral:rRNA from 1 species